CAGCAGCCGCGGUAAUACGUAGGUGGCGAGCGUUGUCCGGAAUUAUUGGGCGUAAAGCGCGCGUAGGCGGCUUGUCAGGUCCGACGUGAAAUCCCGGGGCUCAACCCCGGACGUGCGUCGGAAACCGGCUUGCUUGAGUCUGGGAGAGGGAAGUGGAAUUCCUGGUGUAGCGGUGAAAUGCGCAGAUAUCAGGAGGAACACCGGUAGCGAAGGCUGCUUCCUGGAACAGUACUGACGCUGAGGCGCGAAAGCUAGGGGAGCGAACAGGAUUAGAUACCCUGGUAGUCCUAGCCGUAAACGAUGGACACUAGGUGUCGGGAGUGUCGACUCUCCCGGUGCCGAAGCUAACGCAUUAAGUGUCCCGCCUGGGGAGUACGGCCGCAAGGUUAAAACUCAAAGGAAUUGACGGGGGCCCGCACAAGCAGCGGAGCAUGUGGUUUAAUUCGACGCAACGCGAAGAACCUUACCAGGGCUUGACAUGUACGUGGUAGGAAUCUGAAAGGUGACCGACCCUUCGGGGAGCGUACACAGGAGGUGCAUGGCC
rnacentral:rRNA from 1 species